rnacentral:lncRNA from 1 species
AUUCUAACAAAUUCAUCAGGGUUAUUAAACAGACCAACUAAAACAUAACAGAUGCUAGAAAGCUUGUGCAAGAUGCUACUGAUGGAUUGCGUAAAGAAACGCCUCUAAAUAAAAAAACUAAUCAUUCAACACGAAAACCAUCCGCAAUUUGUCUCCAAGACCAUGUUAAUGGAAGUCUUUUUGGGAAGCCUAAAUCAAAUUGUUUAUUUGCCAAAUUAUACUCGGACAAAAUGUCUCCAAGCCAUUAAGAGGAAACCAGUUCAAUUCAUCACAGGUGCAAGAAAAUGCAAAUUCGUAGAAAGGACAAUGAUUAUUACGUUAUCACUUCAAAAUUGAAAAUUAAAUGCAGACUAUUAAACAGAACUGCUGAGAAAGAAAGUAAUUCAUGAAGAACACUACUAUAACUUCCAGUUGAAAAGGGAGAAAAAAAAAUAACUGUUUACUAUAAUUUGAUCACCCUGCUGCAUAAUAUUAAAA